rnacentral:pre_miRNA from 1 species
UAAAUGCCGAGAUCCACGUCAUUCUCAUCCACGAUAGUUCGUCAAGGGCUUGUAAGGAUGAGAAUGAUGUGGAUCUCAGCAUUUA